AGGGUGCUGUAGAAGCUUUGGCCAGGG
rnacentral:piRNA from 1 species